ACCACUUCAGCGGUCAGGUUGGCAGUGUCCCGAGUGCAAGGUGUGCCAGACCUGCAGGCAACCAGGGGAGGAUUCAAAGAUGCUGGUUUGCGAUGCUUGUGACAAGGGCUACCACACCUUCUGUCUACUGCCGGCCAUGGACUCUGUGCCCCCUGAUUCAUGGAAGUGCAAACGGUGCCGUGUGUGUAUUGACUGUGGCAUGCGAGGGCUAAAGCUUCCUGGCUCUGACCAGUGGUUUGAGAGCUACACAGUAUGCGAGGGCUGUCAGCGCAGGCGCACCUCUGUCUGCGGUGUGUGCAGUAAGGCCACGGAGCCCUCGGUCUCCCUGCAACAUCGCUGUGCCAUCUGCCACAGAUGGGUACACAGUGAUUGUGCCUCUCUGUCAGGGCCUCCUGAGGAGAAAUGCAUCUGUGUGCUCUGCAAAGAAAUGCCAGAUGAGGUUCCAAUCGAGUCUGAAGUGUCAUCCACACAAGUAGAUGAGAAAGCUGAUUUGGAGGUGCCAAUGGAAUUGGGGACAGAGCUUGAGGUGGUUGGAACAGCAGAAGUGAAAGAAAGCAUUAUGGAGGAGGAACUACAGCAAGAAGGCGCUGAGGGCUCCACAGAGACUAAUGUGCACAGUGAGGUCUCUACAGAGCAGCAGGCCCCUUUAGCUACAGUUUCAGAAGCUGAUGAAAAACAAAAAGAGGAGACGACUACCAUUGAAACAGUGGCUACAGAGGCCAUUGAGGAAAAAUCAGUGGACACUCAGGACCCUCCUGUGAAGGAUAGUCCAGACAGCCCUGUUCCGGACACUAGAGAGGAAGCCCAACUUGAUGUAGCUGAAACUCACAUAGAAAAGCAGGAGGAGUUGCAAGGGCAAGACAGUACUCCUCAGACAGAGA
rnacentral:lncRNA from 1 species